AGGACGAACGCUGGCGGCGUGCUUAACACAUGCAAGUCGAGCGAGGCUCUCUCCUUCGGGAGGGAUGCCCUAGCGGCGAACGGGUGAGUAACACGUGGGCAACCUGCCCCUAGCACUGGGAUAACUCCGGGAAACCGGGGCUAAUACCGGAUACGACCUCUGAGGGCAUCCUCCGGAGGUGGAAAGCAUUGUGGCUAGGGAUGGGCCCGCGGCCUAUCAGCUUGUUGGUGAGGUAACGGCCCACCAAGGCGACGACGGGUAGCCGGCCUGAGAGGGCGACCGGCCACACUGGGACUGAGACACGGCCCAGACUCCUACGGGAGGCAGCAGUGGGGAAUAUUGCACAAUGGGCGAAAGCCUGAUGCAGCGACGCCGCGUGAGGGAUGACUGCCUUCGGGUUGUAACCUCUUUCAGCAGGGACGAAGCGAAAGUGACGGUACCUGCAGAAGAGCACCGGCCAACUACGCGCCAGCAGCCGCGGU
rnacentral:rRNA from 1 species